rnacentral:rRNA from 1 species
GGAGUUAGCCGGUGCUUCUUCUGCGAGUAACGUCACAGAUGUAAGGUAUUAACUUACACCCUUUCCUCCUCGCUGAAAGUGCUUUACAACCCGAAGGCCUUCUUCACACACGCGGCAUGGCUGCAUCAGGGUUUCCCCCAUUGUGCAAUAUUCCCCACUGCUGCCUCCCGUAGGAGUCUGGGCCGUGUCUCAGUCCCAGUGUGGCUGAUCAUCCUCUCAGACCAGCUAGGGAUCGUCGCCUAGGUGAGCCUUUACCUCACCUACUAGCUAAUCCCACCUGGGCUUAUCCAUCAGCGCAAGGCCCGAAGGUCCCCUGCUUUCCCCCGUAGGGCCGUAUGCGGUAUUAGCAGUCGUUUCCAACUGUUAUCCCCCACAAAUGGGCAAAUUCCCAGGCAUUACUCACCCGUCCGCCGCUCGUCAUCUUCAAAAGCAAGCUUUUGAAAUGUUACCGCUCGACUUGCAUGUGUUAGGCCUGCCGCCAGCGUUCAAUCUGAGCCAUAAUCAAACUCUGA